GGGCAUGUAUCCGUUCGGGCCUUCUAUCCCGACUACGGUAAUUGGAUGAUGCCGGUUCGAUCCCGGCCAUGCUCUCCA
rnacentral:tRNA from 1 species